rnacentral:snoRNA from 1 species
UGUUCCUGACCUGGGUAAAGUGAUUUCAUGUUGGUGAUGCCUGUCUUACAUCAGCCAGGGGCAAAACAAGCACUGCUUAUCUCCGUUUGGUCUCUGGUGUGUGUGCAUGCCUGGGUCAUGCCUUAUAUACAAGA